rnacentral:tRNA from 1 species
GGUUGUGGCUCAGUGGUAGAUGGCUUGCCUUGUGUGUGUGAGGCACUGGGUUCGAUUCUCAGUAUAUCA